rnacentral:piRNA from 1 species
UAAGGAGACAGCAUGGAGACCCAUAA